rnacentral:rRNA from 1 species
UGGGAAUAUUGGACAAUGGGGGGAACCCUGAUCCAGCCAUGCCGCGUGUGUGAAGAAGGCCUUUUGGUUGUAAAGCACUUUAAGCGAGGAGGAGGAGCUCUAGACUAAUACUCUAGAUGCUUGGACGUUACUCGCAGAAUAAGCACCGGCUAACUCUGUGCCAGCAGCCGCGGUAAUACAGAGGGUGCAAGCGUUAAUCGGAUUUACUGGGCGUAAAGCGUGCGUAGGUGGUCUUUUAAGUCGGAUGUGAAAUCCCUGAGCUUAACUUAGGAAUUGCAUUCGAUACUGGGAGACUAGAGUAUGGGAGAGGAUGGUAGAAUUCCAGGUGUAGCGGUGAAAUGCGUAGAGAUCUGGAGGAAUACCGAUGGCGAAGGCAGCCAUCUGGCCUAAUACUGACACUGAGGUACGAAAGCAUGGGGAGCAAACAGGAUUAGAUACCCUGGUAGUCCAUGCCGUAAACGAUGUCUACUAGCCGUUGGGGUCUUUGAGACUUUAGUGGCGCAGCUAACGCGAUAAAAGUAGACCGCCUGGGGAGUACGGUCGCAAGACU